rnacentral:rRNA from 1 species
UACGUAGGGGGCAAGCGUUGUCCGGAAUCAUUGGGCGUAAAGAGCGUGUAGGCGGCCCGGUAAGUCCGCUGUGAAAGUCCAGGGCUCAACCCUGGGAUGCCGGCGGAUACUGUCGGGCUCGAGUCCGGAAGAGGAGUGUGGAAUUCCUGGUGUAGCGGUGAAAUGCGCAGAUAUCAGGAGGAACACCAAUGGCGAAGGCAGCACUCUGGGACGUGACUGACGCUGAGACGCGAAAGCGUGGGGAGCAAACAGG